rnacentral:lncRNA from 1 species
GGGGGAUCGGCUGGCUUCGAGGUGGAAAUGGCUAGUGCAAGGGUGCACCAUUUGGGUCUCCCUGGAAUCGAUGCUGAAGGAGGUAGAGGAGCUCGUUUGGUGGUUCCCGGAGGUGGUGGAGCUUUUAGAGGAGGAGGUUAGGGUAGAUGCAAAGGGGUGGGCAGCCAUAGCGGUGGUGGCACGAAGUCUCGAUCGAAAAGUGGCGGUGG